ensembl:lncRNA
UUUUUAUUUUGGGAAAAACAUCUGAAGGUUAUGCAAACAUAAAUCUAAAAUCAACAAAUGAAAAUGGAGAUAUUUGAAAAGCUAAGGCUAGACUGCUCUGUGAAUCCAGGGAAAAAACGGUUUACUCUGCUGGCAGAGUAUGCUUAUUUAUCUACUUAGGCCAUGCCUACGGCAUGCGGAAGUACCAGGGCCAGGCUCAAACUUGUGCUACAGCAGUGACCCAAGCCACAGCAGUGACAAUGCCACAUCUUUAACCUGAUAAGCCACCAGGGGACUCCAGAGGUGCAUCUUUAAAGAAAAGUUUUGAUAGAGAAUUGUUUCAAUUGUUUUAAGCUUCAGUAUGACAGUAAACUCUACUACCUAUCUGUUUUUUAUCUAGUCUAUUUGGACAGAGGAGAUCACAAAAGAUAAGGGGUUGAAACCCUCAAACCUACAGGAAUCUCCUCACACUGGAGGGAAAUUUGAGAAAAAGAAACCAGGUGGGCAGAAGUUCAUCAUGGGCUGGACCACUGAUGCCUACAUCUUAGUGCUAAGACUCACUAACUCAGGAGUUCCUAUCGUGGCACAGUGGAAACGAAUCCGACUAGGAACCAUGAGGUUUUAGGUUCGAUCCCUGGCCUCGCUCAGUUGUGGUAAGGAUCCGGCGUUACCGUGAGCUGUGGUAUAGGCCAGCAGCUAUAGCUCAGAUUAAACCCCUAGCCUGGGAACCUCCAUAUGCUACGGUGCAGCCCUAAAAAUCAAACAAAAACAAAAACAAAAAACAAAAAAGACGCUAACUCAUUGUUGAUUAUAUUCUGGUAUUCUGAUAGGAUUCUUCUAGAGGAGUCACCCCCUUGAAGGUAAGAGGAUGCUUCCCUGGAAGCAGGGUGACCAACUGUCCCAGUAUGCUAAGGACUAAAGGGCUUCCCAGGACACAGCACAGUUCAGUGCUAGAACUGUGAAAACUGAGGGCAAACUGGGGGAGUUGGUUACCUAAAAAUAAACAUAGCCAUUGUCAAUUAUGUGGAAAGAAUUUGGAAAGACUAAGCCAGUAAAGAGAAUUGGGACUUAUUGAUCUGGGGAAAUAGUCUGGGAUAAAGAGUGAAAGGAAGGGAAUAGAGAAAAGGAAGGAAACUGUUCCUUAUCUUGGAUCUGGGCUCUGGGAAACCGACCACACAGGAUGGUGGAGGUCAGGACUGAAACUAGGAUGAGAUAACUCUGUAGCAGCACAAUGAGUCAUCUUAGUAUGAAAUGAACAGUUAAGCUCAGACCAAGGGUUUUCAGUGUAUUUCAGGUAGGGAUACAAUCAUAGUAUAUCAAUUAUCUAUCCUCUUUUUUCCCCUUCCCCACCUCUUGUACUUUUUCAUAUAUGAUCCCUUUCAAACUGUGUCUUGUGGGAGUGCCCAUUGUGCUUCAGUGGGUUAAAAAUUCUACUGCAGCAGCUCAGGUUACUGUGGAGACAUGGGUUCAAUCCCCCGCCCUGCAUAGUAGGUUAAAGGAUCUGGCAUAGGACGAAGCUGUGGCUCAGAUUCAAUCCCUGGCCUGGGAACUUCCAUACGCCUUGGGUGCAGCCAUAAAAAAAAAAAAAAAAGAAAAAGAAAAAUUGUGUU